rnacentral:misc_RNA from 1 species
UAUAAAUUACCUGCAGAAAUGUGGGUCAUAAUCAAUGAGUAUAUUCAACAUAAUUGAAUGUAGCUAAUCAAGUGCUGCUUUGUUUCUUCGACCAGUUAUUGGUUUUGGCAGUCCAUCAAAGAAUGGUCUUCCAAUAGCUGCAGCUGAAAGGGCCUGUAAAUCUGGCUUUAAACUCCACUUGGAUGUUGGCCAGAUGGAAGAACUGCUAUUGUCCUGAUCAUGCAAGUUUGAUGUGCUUGAUGACUUCCUUACACUAGAAAAUCCACCUGCAGCAAGAGAAUCAAUAGGUACAGGUGUUAAACCACUUGUUUCCCUAUCAACUGGCAAUACAGUUCUACUAGCUGCCUUGGAUCUCAGAGCUAAGCUCUUUCCUGUGAUUGCUGAACUUGCAGCCCCACUGCUCUCCUCCAUCAUCAGCAUUUCAGGUUGGCUGGAACGCCUUCUAACCAAUUUCUCAUUCCAUUUCUCUGAGUCAGAUUCCCUCAUCUCAAGAGGUUGGUUAUCAGCCACCCCAUUAUUCUCAUUUUGUAAACCAUUAAUGAAGCUCCUAGAUUUCCUAUGAUGGCUCAAAGGUGUAUUGGAAGCUGGUGAACGUCUAAGG